rnacentral:rRNA from 1 species
GACGAACGCUGGCGGCGUGCUUAACACAUGCAAGUCGAACGGAAAGGCCCCUCUUUUGUGGGGUGCUCGAGUGGCGAACGGGUGAGUAACACGUGAGUAACCUGCCCUUGACUUUGGGAUAACUUCAGGAAACUGGGGCUAAUACCGGAUAGGAGCUCCUGCUGCAUGGUGGGGGUUGGAAAGUUUCGGCGGUUGGGGAUGGACUCGCGGCUUAUCAGCUUGUUGGUGGGGUAGUGGCUUACCAAGGCUUUGACGGGUAGCCGGCCUGAGAGGGUGACCGGCCACAUUGGGACUGAGAUACGGCCCAGACUCCUACGGGAGGCAGCAGUGGGGAAUAUUGCACAAUGGGCGGAAGCCUGAUGCAGCAACGCCGCGUGCGGGAUGACGGCCUUCGGGUUGUAAACCGCUUUCGCCUGUGACGAAGCGUGAGUGACGGUAAUGGGUAAAGAAGCACCGGCUAACUACGUG